rnacentral:lncRNA from 1 species
UGUCGAUUCUCCACUAUACAAAUGGUCAUGGUGCAAUGAUUGGUGUCAAUUAGCUUGCUGGUUGAUGCUGUAUGUUGGUAUACCUUUGACAUGCUUCGCAUCUCCAAACAAGCUUAGCUGCAUCUUUUCUUAUGGUGGAUUAGUAGUACCUAUAUCACAGAACUUUAUAGGCCAGUGAUUUGCCCUCCAAGUGAUUUCUGUAAAUCCUUUCAUGGACUUCACGAAGAGCAUAGUCGGCUUUGAUAGGUCUCAGGCACUUAAGCAGUAGAAGAGAGAAUGAUCUUUUGUAUAGUUGUCCGUUCAUCAACACAUAUUAAGAAGCCAUCCAUCUUAGUC